GGAGUUAGCCGGUGCUUCUUCUGCGAGUAACGUCACAGAUGUAAGGUAUUAACUUACACCCUUUCCUCCUCGCUGAAAGUGCUUUACAACCCGAAGGCCUUCUUCACACACGCGGCAUGGCUGCAUCAGGGUUUCCCCCAUUGUGCAAUAUUCCCCACUGCUGCCUCCCGUAGGAGUCUGGGCCGUGUCUCAGUCCCAGUGUGGCUGAUCAUCCUCUCAGACCAGCUAGGGAUCGUCGCCUAGGUGAGCCUUUACCUCACCUACUAGCUAAUCCCACCUGGGCUUAUCCAUCAGCGCAAGGCCCGAAGGUCCCCUGCUUUCCCCCGUAGGGCGUAUGCGGUAUUAGCAGUCGUUUCCAACUGUUAUCCCCCACAAAUGGGCAAAUUCCCAGGCAUUACUCACCCGUCCGCCGCUCGUCAUCUUCAAAAGCAAGCUUUUGAAAUGUUACCGCUCGACUUGCAUGUGUUAGGCCUGCCGCCACGCGUUCAAUCUGAGCCAGAUACAAACUACUGA
rnacentral:rRNA from 1 species